rnacentral:rRNA from 1 species
GAAACGACUGCUAAGACUGGAUAGGAAAAGUAAAGGCAUCUUUACUUUUUUAAAAGACCUUCUUUGAAGGUAUGCUUAAGGAGGGGCUUGCGACACAUUAGUUAGUUGGCAGGGUAAAGGCCUACCAAGACUAUGAUGUGUAGCUGGACUGAGAGGUUGAACAGCCACAUUGGGACUGAGACACGGCCCAAACUCCUACGGGAGGCAGCAGUAGGGAAUUUUCGGCAAUGGAGGAAACUCUGACCGAGCAACGCCGCGUGAACGAUGAAGUACCUCGGUAUGUAAAGUUCUUUUAUUAAGGAAGAAAAAAGAGUGGAAAAACUCCCUUGACAGUACUUAAUGAAUAAGCCCCGGCUAAUUAUGUGCCAGCAGCCGCGGUAAUACAUAAGGGGCGAGCGUUAUCCAGAAUUAUUGGGCGUAAAGGGUGCGUAGGCGGUUUAAUAAGUCUAUAGUUUAAUUUCAGUGCUUAACGCUGUUGUGCUAUAGAAACUGUUUUACUAGAGUGAGUUAGAGGCAAGCGGAAUUCCAUGUGUAGCGGUAAAAUGCGUAAAUAUAUGGAGGAACACCAGAGGCGUAGGCGGCUUGCUGGGACUUUACUGUCGCUGAGGCACGAAAGCGCGGGGAGCAAACAGGAUUAGAUACCCUGGUAGUCCACGCCGUAAACGAUGAGUACUAAGUGUCGGGUAAAACCGGUACUGAAGUUAACACAUUAAGUACUCCGCCUGAGUAGUACGUACGCAAGUAUGAAACUUAAAGGAAUUGACGGGAUUCCGCACAAGCGGUGGAUCAUGUUGUUUAAUUCGAAGAUACACGAAAAACCUUACCAGGUCUUGACAUUUUCUUGCGAAGUUAUAGAAAUAUAAUGGAGGUUAUCAGGAAAACAGGUGGUGCAUGGUUGUCGUCAGCUCGUGUCGUGAGAUGUUAGGUUAAGUCCUAAAACGAGCGCAACCCUUGUCGUUAAUUGCCAGCAUGUAAUGAUGGGGACUUUAACGAGACUGCCAAUGAAAAAUUGGAGGAAGGUGGGGAUUACGUCAAAUCAUCAUGCCCCUUAUGAUCUGGGCUACAAACGUGAUACAAUGGUUGAUACAAAGAGUAGCUGAAACGCGAGUUAUUAGCCAAUCUCACAAAAUCAAUCUCAGUUCGGAUUGAAGUCUGCAACUCGACUUCAUGAAGUUGGAAUCGCUAGUAAUCGCGAAUCAGCAUGUCGCGGUGAAUACGUUCUCGGGGUUUGUACACACCGCCCGUCA